rnacentral:rRNA from 1 species
GACGUAGGGCGCGAGCGUUGUCCGGAUUUAUUGGGCGUAAAGAGUUCGUAGGCGGCUCAUUGCGUCAACCGUGAAAACCAGCAGCUCAACUGUUGGCUUGCGGUUGAUACGGGUGGGCUGGAGUUCGGUAGGGGAGACUGGAAUUCCUGGUGUAGCGGUGAAAUGCGCAGAUAUCAGGAGGAACACCGGUGGCGAAGGCGGGUCUCUGGGCCGAUACUGACGCUGAGGAGCGAAAGCGUGGGGAGCGAACAGG